rnacentral:rRNA from 1 species
UGGGUAACCUGCCUUAUAGUGGGGGAGUAGCCUUUCGAAAGGAAGAUUAAUACCGCAUAAGAUUGUAGUAUCGCAUGAUAUAGCAAUUAAAGGAGCAAUCCGCUAUAAGAUGGACCCGCGUCGCAUUAGCUAGUUGGUGAGGUAAUGGCUCACCAAGGCGACGAUGCGUAGCCGACCUGAGAGGGUGAUCGGCCACAUUGGGACUGAGACACGGCCCAGACUCCUACGGAGGCAGCAUG